CCUACGGGUGGCAGCAGUGAGGAAUAUUGGUCAAUGGACGAGAGUCUGAACCAGCCAAGUAGCGUGAAGGAUGACUGCCCUAUGGGUUGUAAACUUCUUUUAUAUGGGAAUAAAACGUUCCACGUGUGGGAUUUUGUAUGUACCAUAUGAAUAAGGAUCGGCUAACUCCGUGCCAGCAGCCGCGGUAAUACGGAGGAUCCGAGCGUUAUCCGGAUUUAUUGGGUUUAAAGGGAGCGUAGGUGGAUUGUUAAGUCAGUUGUGAAAGUUUGCGGCUCAACCGUAAAAUUGCAGUUGACACUGGCAGUCUUGAGUACAGUAGAGGUGGGCGGAAUGCGGGGUGUAGCGGUGAAAUGCUGAGAUAUCACGAAGAACUCCGAUUGCGAAGGCAGUUCACUGGACUGCAACUGACACUGAGGCUCGAAAGUGUGGGUAUCAAACAGGAUUAGAUACCCGAGUAGUC
rnacentral:rRNA from 1 species